GUGAAGCCAUCCACUAAGGCCAGUGAACUGGAGGAAAUUGAUGAGUUCAAAGAGUAAAAGGGCAAAACAGCAAAGACUGGAGCUACAGAGCCCAGGCACCCAGCAGGGAAGGCUAAGGAAUCAACAAUGCAAUUAAAAGUCUUCAGCCAGCAAUGGAAAUAUUGAACAGUUGCACUGUUUCAAGUGAAGAGACAAUUGGUAACUCCAUAGACAGAGGGAAAAGCAUUAAGGUCAAUCCAGACAGGAUUUCAAUCAAGAGGAGAAAGCUAUCACUUGGUCAGAGACUUUGAAGGCAUGAAAAUUAAUCUGAGUACUCUGAAGGAGCUAGCCUGCCAAAGGAGGAAAAAUCAGAGCCUUUCAAACCAAAGGACUCAAAGAAAACAUCCUGGAAAGGCUAAAGCAAGGAGAGCGCCACAAGCCACCAGCUCAUUUUAAGUCAGUGAGGUAUUGAACUAUUAAGGGGAAAGAAACUGGCAAUAUUGACUGAGAAAACCGGGACAAAGCCUGCAGAGGUUUAAUCCAGUUUGGUGCACAUACCUUUCAGCGUUACAUGAAAGCUUUUAGUUCCCUGGCCACACUGAAAUAGAAGACCUGAAAGCAACCUCAAAGGUUUCAUGAUUUGACUGCUCCAAGAAGGGAAAAAUAAAUUCAAGACCACAGAAUACAAGUAAACAGAAGCUGACUGGGGAAUCUCAAGAACUCAGGCUCUGUCCCAGUCUUCUGGCUGUUUCCUGGUGACACAAACUGCAUUCACAAGUGCCUGGAGCAAAGACAUUUGCCAGCAGCUACAAAUAUUCUCAAACAGAUCUGUACAUAACCACUGUCACGAUGCUGCUAAAAGGGAGAACAAGCC
ensembl:lncRNA